UACGAAGGGUGCAAGCGUUACUCGGAAUUACUGGGCGUAAAGCGUGCGUAGGUGGUGAGUUAAGUCUGUCGUGAAAGCCCCGGGCUCAACCUGGGAAUGGCGAUGGAUACUGGCUCGCUAGAGUGCGGUAGAGGAGAGUGGAAUUCCCGGUGUAGCAGUGAAAUGCGCAGAUAUCAGGAGGAACACCGGUGGCGAAGGCGGUUCUCUGGGCCUUACCUGACGCUGAGGAGCGAAAGCGUGGGGAGCGAACAGG
rnacentral:rRNA from 1 species